rnacentral:lncRNA from 1 species
UGGCUCCCCAGCAAUAUUAAUUCAACAAAACUGUGUCUCCUCCAAGAGUUUCUCCUGCAGGGUCAGGGUCUAGCACCAUUGCUCUAAGCAGGGGGCAGCAGGAAAACAGGUUGGUCUUGUAAAGCUGAAUACAGUCUUUGCUUUGGUAGCCUCUCCAGAAUUUUUCUCCCUCUCCAUCUCACUCACAGGACCAUUGUCUCUGCCUUGAACCAUUGUGAUCGCUUUCCAUGUGAUUUCUCUGCAUCUGAGCCUAUCUCCUCCCUCCCAUUUUCUUAAAUGUUAUCAACUUAUUCUUCUCAGCUGAAUCUGUCCUUCCUUUAAAUACUUCUGAUGUGGCUUAUUGGCUCUAGGUUAAUUGGUACUCAAGAGCCGUUCUGCAGAUGGAUGGAUGGAUGGAUGGACAAGGAUUGACUCCUCUAGGUUAAACAGACGUGAAGAGAAUGAGCCACAAAGCAAUAUGAUCUCCAGUAGAAAGCCCAUGUGCUUUAGCCAAUGAGACUGUGCACAUCGAAUGACCUCAUCAAGGACUAAGAAGCAUGCAGGUCUGAGUUGUACGUAUCCAUUUGCUUACUUCUUUAUUUCCCAUUACAUUCCACAAUGAGACCACAUGUAGUAAAACAACACUACAGUAACUCGAGUAGUGGUAGUUAGAAAUACAGAGCAAAUUAAAUUCUCUGCUUGACAGAUCGUCACAUAUGCUACAUGAGCCAGCACAACCCAAUUACACUAACUUUGUUGCAUAAAAUCAUCCAACAGCUCUUUCUUAUCUUCUGCUGUAGACCAGGCCUGAGUACAGUAUGUAAAUGAUUGAUGAAACUCAUGCCCUACCUCAAGGAUCUCAGGAUCAGCAAGAGAGUGGUUAGUACUACAUUAAAGGAAAGCACAGCAGACGGCAGUCUUGGGUGAGGCGGGAUGCUGUGACCAGACACCUACCUCAGGAAAGAGCUCCUUCUUCUGAGCUAUUUCUGAAAACGCACAGGUCUCCAAGACAAAGUUGAGCGGAUUGUGCACACCCUAAAAGAGGGACGAGGGCUGAUAGUGUUAUGAAAUUAGAAAAUGGCCUGGUGAAGUUGAAAGCCACAGGUGAGAGACCGUGGAUGAUGAAGUCCCCAGAGUUAAAAUGACCUCCCUGCUUCUGUUCCUCAUGUUGUAUAACAGUUUGAAACACUCCAUCCUGCAGGGAGCCUCCUUUUAGUGAGAGGGUAAACAACCCAAAAUAGCUUCUGGAAGUUCCUGAAACUGACCAGAUUCACUAGGCCCAUUCUUCCAAGAGUAAACAAGCCAACCUGCAAAGAAGACACUGAGACCAGACAAGCUGUCUUCAGGAAGUAAAAAUCAGCAAAGCUACCUGGAAGGUAUUUAGACUAAUUGACUCAUUCGGAAAGGACAGUCUCCAAACUAUGAGCUGCCUACAGGCUGUGCAGUGUGUUGCAGAUUCCCAGCUUUUGUGAGCUGUCAGAAGUGCUAGGGUGGGCUUUGGUGAUGUAGCUGUCUUUGAGUUAGUUCUUCAUAUCCUUGUAAGUAAUUACCCUUAUUCCUGUAAGUAACCCCAAUAAAACUCAUUGGUUUAUCA